GUGAUUUAACGCUCUUUCACCAAAAAGAAUUGCGUGAUUAUUACGCAAGGUUGAGGAGUGUGCACGUGUUGUGGAAUAGACCUCGGAAUAUACCAGACAAAGUUUCUAAAAAUGGUGAGAAAUUUCUAUUUGUUGCUAUUGUUUUUUGACUGUAUAGUGAAUGCUUUAUAGAGAUUACUUAAAACUGUUUAGUAUAGUGAGAAAAAUUGUGAAAAUAUACAGUAAAUAAGUUAUAAAUAAUGUGUUUGUGGGGCGGUCAAGUAUAUUUGAGUAUUUGACUGUUUGAGAUGUUAGUAUUAAAUUUAGUGGUUGUAGACAGUGUUUUUCAUGUUAAUGUGGAAAAUAUUCUUUUGAAAAUGAGAAUUGUGUGGAGACAAAUGGUGGACAAUUCAGUUUACUUUAUAUUCAAGUGCCAUCUGCACUGUAUAAAUGUCAAAUUGACGUUUUUGAGUGAGUAGGUGGGUCAAAAUUCAAGGCUGGGUGGGUGGGUUUGGUUAAAAAUGACGUUUUGUGUGGCAAUUUGUGGAUAUGUACCCCCAGUCCUUGAAACUCAGGUCGGCAUUCUGCAAUGCCGACCUAUGUAAAUGCCGACCUGCAAAGCGAUAUGUGUAGAUUUAGGUCGGCAAAAUUUUGCAUAAUUGGUAUUUUUCGCAAUGGUAUUUUUCAAAUACCUCUCGGCUUUUUUUUCCUUGAAUACAUCUUCCACAUACGCAUUUUCAACGAUGUUUUAAUUAUCAGGUUUUGAUCAUUAGCUUGCGUAGUCACAUUGCAGUUUCAUUGUUGAAAGGUGAUACUUGAAACUUUGAAAAUAAACAUAUGUGUUAAAAUCAUCCAAGCGAAAGUAUAUGGUAAUAAAGCUGUCACAACAUUUGGUCACAACAUGCACUGUUCGAUUGGAGUUCAUACAUUUUGUUAGUUUUGUUUGCUAUUGGCAUUGAUUGCAAUUAAUUGAAGUUUAUAAAUACGCAUAUUUGCAGCAAGCAAAUAAAAUUUUUAUUUGGAUAUUUUCUAUUUGUUUUGAAAAUAUUUGCCAACCUAGAUUGAGAAUUAUCACUUUUAGGUUGGCAAUUUCUUGCCGACCUGAAAUUUCGGGAGUUUCAAGGACUGACCCCUCAAUAAAUAUGUAAUUGCAGAUUCUUGGUUCCCUUUAGGCCCCCCUCCCAAAUAUUAGGGGUGUACCGGAACCAAUUUUUAAAGUUCCGUCUGGAACCGGAUCCGUCCGGAAUCGGAUCCGGCCAGAACUGGAAAAAGUCCCGGCCGGAACUGACUUAUUAAGCCAUAUAUAGUCACAUGUUACUUUGUCUGCUGCCAGACAGGCAGACACUUCAAUUAGUCAUCAAGGAGGAGCUCACAAAUGUUAGAGUAAAAAGAUUGACAAGUGUUAAUAGUGUAAAUUUCCCUUGUGUAGUCCAGAUUUCUUCCUACUGUGAACUUUUAUUAGAUGCAAAAAUGUUUAAUAUUCUAUAUCUCUUAAAAUGACAGAGUUCCGGUUUCGGCCAUGUUUUUUUUAUUAGUUCCAGCCGGAACUCUGAAAAAUCGGAAUUCCGAACUGACCAGCCGGAACCGAGUUCCGGUGCACCCCUACCCCCCAUGUUAUGGGAUAAAAUCUGUUUCUCAUUGGCCAUCAAAUAUUGCCUGAUGCCUUGUACUGACUCAAAAACUAGUGUCAUCAAAAGUAGUUUCAUCAAAAGUUUUUGAAAUACCGUAAAUCUCGAGAUCUGAAUAUAAGCCCUGAGCUUAUAUUAGUUUGUAAGUAUUUUUUAAUGGGCUCAUAUUUUGGGGGGCCUUAUAUGUGGGCAGGGUCUUAGCUAGGAUCUUAGAUCUUGGGCGUGUUUCUAAUGACCAGGGCGUGCACAUGUCAAUUACCUUGAAUAGCAAAAUCACGGUUCUAGUUAUGCUCGCCAACAACAUGUUGCGAAUCUAUGCUUUGCAACCAGUUAUUUCAGCAACUCCUGGGGUAUUUAAAACCAUUUUAACACCAUACAGUUCCCAUUAUCCAUCAAAACAUUAAACUCAUCACAGAUCACUUUUUCAAAUUUCAACAACAACAGUAGAUUUUACAAACUUUCUUACGACGUAAAUAGGAAGAAAUUCUGUCUGUUGUAAGUAGCAAGACCUUAUUUUAUGAACCUACACGGCCUUAUAUAAAUAAUGAAGCCGCGUUCAUUUUAUCUAGCCGUGUUUUUCCACUUUUGGCCGCGAUAACACGGUCAACACGGCCCUCUAGCUAAGACCCUGUAUGUGGGGUGCUUACAUACAGACGACAUUUGUUGUUAGUAAUAGUAAUAACUCUCACUCAAAGUACCCAACCUCUUAAGACUUCCACUGACAGUAAAAUUUGCUUACCGGAGGAAUUCUAGGGCUCAAAAUCAUAUAUCCCUGAAGAAUUGAAUGUCCUCAGUAACAAGAGGGUUAUACAGAAUGAUGUUAAAUGAAAUAGCCCAAUUUUCUCUUUAGGCUGCAGCUAUUCGAAAGUUACGACCAUUACUUGAUCGAGUCAUUGUUGAGAAAUUUAUGCCAGAAACAGUGAGUAAA
rnacentral:lncRNA from 1 species